CGCCUCUUGUAAAAUUAACAUAAGAGGUCCCGCCUGCCCUGUGACUAUGGGUUUAACGGCCGCGGUAUUUUGACCGUGCAAAGGUAGCGCAAUCACUUGUCUUUUAAAUGGAGACCUGUAUGAAUGGCAUCACGAGGGCUUAACUGUCUCCUUUUCCAAGUCAAUGAAAUUGAUCUGCCCGUGCAGAAGCGGACAUAAAAACAUAAGACGAGAAGACCCUAUGGAGCUUUAGAUAUUAGACAGAUCUUGUUAAACAAACCAAAAUAAUGGCAUAAACAUAAAGAUUUCUAGUCUACUUGUCUUUGGUUGGGGCGACCGCGGAGGAAAAUAAAGCCUCCAUGAGGACUGAGGGCAGUGCCCUCACAACUAAGAGCCACAGCUCUAAGUACCAGAAUUUCUGACCCAAAUGAUCCAACAAACGUCGAUCAACGAACCAAGUUACCCUAGGGAUAACAGCGCAAUCCCCUCCUAGAGUCCCUAUCGACAAGGGGGUUUACGACCUCGAUGUUGGAUCAGGACAUCCUAAUGGUGCAGCCACUAUUAAGGGUUCGUUUGUUCAACGAUUAA
rnacentral:rRNA from 1 species